UUGUUCAUAUACGUGCUCCGAUCUUGUAGCCGCCAUUAUCGUCUAGGUAAAGUGACACUGAAGCACCAGGGUCAUAGUGGUGAGUAAAAUCUCUCCACUCUUUCCCAUGAAUAAUAAGUGAGUCCCCAUCAACCUUGAACUCCAAACCGAGCUCUCUGUUUUCACACUGAACCCGCAAUUUAGAGUUUCCUCUGGGAAGCAGAUGG
rnacentral:lncRNA from 1 species